UACGGGGGGGGCAAGCGUUGUCCGGAAUUACUGGGCGUAAAGGGCUCGUAGGCGGCCAACUAAGUCAUACGUGAAAUCCCUCGGCUUAACCGGGGAACUGCGUCUGAUACUGGAUGGCUUGAGAUUGGGAGAGGGAUGCGGAAUUCCAGGUGUAGCGGUGAAAUGCGUAGAUAUCUGGAGGAACACCGGUGGCGAAGGCGGCAUCCUGGACCAACACUGACGCUGAGGAGCGAAAGCCAGGGGAGCAAACAGG
rnacentral:rRNA from 1 species